GUAGCUGUAGCAGAAGCACAAGAAAGAUCAUCCCUUCAAACCACAUGAGAUCAACACCUCCCAUAACUGAACAGGAAGACGUCUCCGAUAAACUUCUCAUUCGCAGAGACUCACCGGUACAGCGACUCAACAAAAUCCAUUCAAGAUUCUCUUCCCUGCUUCGUUCUAUCUUCAAGAUGGUUUCUUUUCCCAAUAUAAUUAUCCCUAACUGUAAAUGGCUUUCCCUCCCUACUCACCUCUCAAUCACACCAUCUCUUGGCCGGAAAGUUACUGGUACACUUUUCGGUCACCGCCGUGGACAUGUCAGCUUCGCAGUCCAGGACGAUCCCAAGUCUGAACCGGUGUUGUUACUAGAACUAGCCAUGUCAACGUCCAUGUUAGUGAAAGAGAUGUCGUCAGGUCUGGUUCGGAUCGCGCUGGAGUGCGACAAGGUACAGGUUCCGGUUCCGGGUGGAGGUACCAGGUCAGGGAAGCUAUUUAACGAGCCAACGUGGACUAUGUACUGUAAUGGGAGGAAGUGUGGAUAUGCAACGUCGCGCACGUGUACAGGCCUUGAUUGGCACGUGCUAAGCACCGUUCAGAGCGUUUCCGUUGGAGCUGGGGUUAUUCCGAUGAUGGAAGAUGGCCGGAAGAGUGGCGGUUCAGAGGGUGAAUUGCUGUAUAUGAGAGCAAAGUUUGAGCGAGUUGUAGGUAGCCGUGACUCGGAGGCAUUUUACAUGAUGAACCCAGACGGAAAUGGAGGGCCUGAACUCAGUAUAUUUCUUCUAAGAAUAUGAAAAAGGAGACGAAAAAAAAAAACAAUAUAAGAAGAAAGACUUUGUUGUUGGGAUUUAUCUUUUAGGUAAUUAAUGUAAGGUGGAGAUUUUGUUUAAUUAAAUCAGUGACAUGUACGAUGUAUUUAUAAUUUUCUUUCUAAUUUUUGUAUAUCUUUUAUUAAAUGGAGCUACA
rnacentral:misc_RNA from 1 species